rnacentral:tRNA from 1 species
GGCCUGAUGGUCUAGGGGUAUGAUUCUCGCUUAGGGUGCGAGAGGUCCCGGUUUCAAAUCCCGGUCAGGCCC